UACGGGGGGAGCAAGCGUUGUUCGGAUUUACUGGGCGUAAAGGGCGCGCAGGCGGCUCAUUUUGUCAGGCGUGAAAGCCCCGGGCUUAACCUGGGAACUGCGUUUGAUACGGAUGGGCUAGAGUUCGGAGAGGAGAGUGGAAUUCCCAGUGUAGAGGUGAAAUUCGUAGAUAAUUGGGAAGAACACCGGUGGCGUAAGGCGGCUAGCUCGUGGACCGAGACGUGACGCUGAGGCGCGAAAGCGUGGGGAGCAAC
rnacentral:rRNA from 1 species